GGAGACGACUGAGGAAUGACUGUGAGACAACAACAUAAAGUGCAUUGCAAUAAUCUAUUCUUGAACUGAUAAAAGCAUGAAUAGCCUUUUCAAGGUCAUGGCGAUUUAAAAAUGGUUUGACCUUGGCCAAAAGACGUAAAAAAAAAAAAAAAACUUGCUUUAACCAGGCUGUCAAUGUGUUUAUCAAAUUUGAGACUACUAUCAAAAGUCACACCAAGAUUUUUAACAGCUGGUCUUAAGUUUUGAAGUCAGUGUACUAAAGUCAUAAGUUACAGACUCUCCAAAUAAAAUGUAUUCAGUCUUUUCUUCAUUUAAUUUAAGGAAGUUGUGCCCUAACCAUUGUUUAAUGUCAUGAAUGCAAGCAGAUAUUGACCCAACCGCAUCAGCAUUUUUUGGCCUUAUAGGCAAAUAAAAGUUAUAUUGUGCCUGGCAAUAACUGACCCAAGAGACAGCAUGUAAAGUGAAAAUAAAACAGGCCCGAGAAUAGAGCCUUGUGGCACCCCGCAAGAGAGAGGCGCAGUUAGAGGAGGACGAGUCCCCGAUCACUACAGAAAAACAUCUGUCGGUCAAAUAUGAUGAGGACCACUGAAUUAAGGUGCCCCAAAUGCCAACAAAAUGAUUAAGGAGGGAAAGGAGGACCUCAUGGUCCACUGUAUCAAAGGCCGCCAUGAGAUCAAGUAGUACUAAAGUAACAGGGCAUUUAGCAUCAAUGGACCGAGCAAUAUCGUUGUGCACCUUAAUAGUGCAGACUCAGUGCUAUGUCACGAUCUAAAUCCAGACUGGAAUUUCUCAAAGAUAGAUUUCUUUUCUAAAAGGGAAAAUAAUGUGAUUAGAUUAUAUAUAUAUUUUUUUUAAGAAGAGGCCUAACCACACCGGAGCAAGUGGAGUAGAAAAAAAGAAAGAAGGCCAUCAGGGCAUGCAGGAAAAACAGAUCCGUGGAGGACAAAAAGUUAAGAGCCCAUAAAUGCAGCAGCAAACUCUUUGGCUGUUGAGGAGAUGCCAUCAGGCUAGACUUUGCUCUAAAGGGACAAAUGUUUAUCUGUGGGUCUGGGUCUCCAGCGGGCCGCAGGUGGAGCGCACCUGUCCUCCAGACCACAUUCCUGCCCUCCCUCAGCAUCCGCUGACCACCCCUAAGGAAAACUAGCGUAUGGUUUCCUGGAUCGCUGGGAUGUUUGUCUCCAGGCAACACUGACAUACACAAUCCUCACAUUUCUGUCAUUCACAUAGAACUACUCAAAAUAAGCUGAGACUGUGCACUACAGAGGUUUUACUGUGGUUAAGGGGUCAUGAAGCACCUACCACCCUUUACCAUAGUAAAAUCAGUGGGUCACCCAACCAAUAUUUAACUGUUUAUACAGUAAACGUUAUAUAGAUUUUUUUUAUUUGUGACCCUGGACCACAAAACCAGUCAUAAUGGUCUUUCUUUUUAAAAAUUUUUUGGAAGCUGAAUAAAUAAGCAAUAUUUGGCUGAGAUACAACUAUUUGAAAAUCUGGAAUCUGAGGGUGCAAAAAAUCUAAAUAUACAGAAAAUCAUCUUUAAAGUUGUCCAAAUGAAGUUCUUAGCAAUGCAUAUUACUAAUCAAAAAUUAAGUUUUAAUAUAUUUACGGUAGGAGAUUUACAAAAUAUCUUCAUGGAACAUGAUCUUUACUUAAUAUCCUAAUGAUUUUUGUCAUAAAAGACCCAUACAAUGUAUUGUUGGCUAUUGCUAUGUAUAUGUAUGCUUUGUAUAUGCAAAGAAAUACAUAAUAUUUUUUAUACAAAAUUAAAUGAAUUUAUUAAAUUUUGACUAAUUUUUUUAAUUAAAUUUAAUAAAUACAAUUAAACUAUUAGCAAUUUAUGUCCCUUGGGUUGAUUUAUAUAUAUGACUUUUUUUUUAAUAUAUAUAUAUACUGUAUAUAUAUAUAUAUAUAUGAGACAGUGUUUUCCCCAUGCCUUAAUUUAUUUUUGCUGGAUUUCAAAUGUAUUUUACUCCUUCCAGGCCCUUUUACUUGAGCUAUGACAAUCCAUCAUAAAAAUACUGGUAAUACUAUAAUUGUUCAUUUAUAGUUCAUCUUAACUAAUGAAUUAACUAAGAAAGGGAUCUUUAUUGUAAAAUGUUACCAAAAUAUUGGUUAUUGUAUAUGUAAAAUGAUAAAUGUUUCCUAUUAAAUAUUAGCCAGACGGAAGAGUCUUUCAUUUUAUGCCAGAAAUGCUAAUAAAAAUGUUAUUUCUGUCACCACAGGUAACAGGGAACAUUCUCGAAAACAUUCUAAGUUCUAAAGUUAUGAAAAUACAUUCUUCCAGAAAAGUUAAUCGAAUGUUCAUUUAAAGUAAUUUGGUCUAACAUUCUCAAAAAUGUUAGCACAAGAAUGUUAUUUAUACGUCGUUUAGUGGACAGUUUAGUUGGUAUCCUUCUAAGAUGGUUUAGAGAACAUUCAAAAGUAACAUUCCCAUGAUGUUUGCAAAAAACCAAAAACAAAACAAACAAGAAAAAAAAACAAAAAAAAAAACAAUGGAACUUUCCACUUAAUGGUGUUGCUAACAUUCACAAAAGUUUAAACAUUCAAAAAUAGAAUGUUAAUAAUGUUGAUUUAGAAAUAAUGUCUUGGAAAUGUUAGUUAAACAUUCUUAGAACAACAUUUUCACAAUAUUUGAGAUGUAAUGGAGAUGACUUUAAAUUCUAGCUCAUUAGCAUGACUGUGAAUGGUAUUGUAGAAUCAAUCCAAUCCAAUCAUUUUUAAACAUUGUGAGUUGUUCGGUUGCCGUGGACGGGUUCAAGGUUGGUGGGCGACUCAUGUUUGCACUGAACACAGCUGUGUGACUCCAGGAGAAGACAAAUGGAGGCCUAAUGUCAACAGGCCAUUAUACGCGCACACAAAUAUAUCAUGAGAGAGACUCGGCUCAUAUUUAUACGUGUGUAUGAGGAUCUAUCUGAUGUACUCAUGUGUGGAGUCUCACUUGAGUGCAAAUUAUGAAUUGCAAACUUUUGAGUAAAUACCAAGUACUGGUUCAUUUCUCUCUCUUUUUAUUCUUCCUGAGGAAUUUGAGUUGCUGAGCUACUAAAAAGCAAUGCAUUUUUCCACACAACUAAUUCUCUAGGGCUAGAAUGGAUUCUUAUGCUGUAGUUAUUUUAAUAUUAAUUACUUGAGUACUUUUAUUUUUGAAU
ensembl:lncRNA